rnacentral:lncRNA from 1 species
AAGCUAUAGGAACAGGUCUUCCGCUUCGGCUCGGGAACUGUUGCCAUCUCUAUCAAUGAAUCAAGCUCUUGAAUGUACCUGAGAAAUGAUAUGCAUGCAGGGAUUAGUUUUUCUUUUUUUCUCUUUUUUCAUUUUUUCAAUUUUUUUUCAUUGCAUUUCUUUUGAAAAAUAAACAUGCUAUGAUGCACAUGAUGCAGACACGACCGGCAAGCUGUGCAUCUCUGAACACAGGAUCAAAACUUCGACUCGUACUCUGAUCACAGUCAUCUGAACCCCAAAGUCAACUGGUCAACUGUCAUCUGAACCCAAUAUGAGAAACUGAUUCACCAACAGGAACACAUUGAGUCACCAACUAGU